rnacentral:rRNA from 1 species
CCUAGUGGCGCACGGGUGAGUAACGCGUGGGAACCUACCCUAGGAUGGGGGACAACCGCUGGAAACGAUGGCUAAUACCGCAUACGCCCUCAGGGGGAAAGGCUUCGGCCACUCCAAGACGGUCCCGCGUCUGAUUAGCUAGUUGGUGAGGUAAUGGCUCACCAAGGCGACGAUCAGUAGCUGGUCUGAGAGGAUGAUCAGCCACACUGGGACUGAGACACGGCCCAGACUCC